AGAGUUUGAUCCUGGCUCAGGAUGAACGCUAGCGGCAGGCCUAAUACAUGCAAGUUGAACGGGAUUUAGUAAGAAGUAGCAAUAUGGAAUAUUAAUGAGAGUAGCGCACGGGUGCGUAACACGUAUGCAACCUACCUUUAACCGGGACAUAACCUCGAGAAAUUGAAGCUAAUAUCCCAUGUGAUUGUUUUUUGGCAUCAGAGGACAAUUAAAAUUCAGAUGGUUAAAGAUGGGCAUGCGUCCCAUUAGCUAGUUGGUGAGGUAACGGCUCACCAAGGCCACGAUGGGUAGGGGUUCUGAGAGGAUGAUCCCCCACACUGGUACUGAGACACGGACCAGACUCCUACGGGAGGCAGCAGUAAGGAAUAUUGGUCAAUGGACGCAAGUCUGAACCAGCCAUGCCGCGUGCAGGAAGACGGCCCUAUGGGUUGUAAACUGCUUUUGUACGGGAAGAACAGCGUCUACGUGUAGAUGUUUGACUGUACCGUAAGAAUAAGGAUCGGCUAACUCCGUGCCAGCAGCCGCGGUAAUACGGAGGAUCCGAGCGUUAUCCGGAUUUAUUGGGUUUAAAGGGUGCGCAGGCGGGUAUGUAAGUCAGAGGUGAAAUUCCACGGCUCAACUGUGGGACUGCCUUUGAUACUGCAUAUCUAGAGUAUAUUUGGAGUGGGCGGAAUGUAGCAUGUAGCGGUGAAAUGCUUAGAUAUGCUACAGAACACCGAUCGUGAAGACAGCUCACUAAACUAUAACUGACGCUCAGGCACGAAAGCGUGGGGAGCAAACAGGAUUAGAUACCCUGGUAGUCCACGCCGUAAACGAUGAUUACUCGCU
rnacentral:rRNA from 1 species